UUGUUCAAGGCUGUUCUAACUAGAUAAGCCUGAUCAUAUCAUCAAUAUUGUUGACUUCUACGGGGUGCAGAUUUUAGUAGACCACGGGAUGAUUAUAACUGUGUGAGAAAUUAGCGACAUGAUGUUUCAAGGACUACCAAAUAUUCGACGAAUCCCACAAUGGAUUCAUAAUGUGGUCAACUGCAUUGCUGUCGUGUCCGCCAUGUGUACGAGCUUACCUCUGGGUUAUGUUUACAAGUAUAAUAAAAGUAGCUGUUUGCUGUUUUCAGAUAUGUUUGUAACAGUGAAAGGUAACCAGAAUGUGAUUAUAAACUAUGAUAGAACAGUGUGGGGACAAACUGAUACUUGUUAUUAUACUACGUUUACACCUCUAGUCACAGCAAUUCACUGUUUUAUUUGGACAUGGUUUUUUAUCCACUUGAAGCAAACGAUUAAAGAAGGCGGAUAUGGAGGACUGGUGAUGAUAUGGAUGAUACUUUUUUAUCUUAUCUUCUUUAUAUGCAUGUUUGUAUCCAGUAUUCGACUGAGUAGUGGUUUUGCAGUAUUUUGCCGAAAUCUAGAAGACAAUCAAAUAUCAGAAACACCAAACCGGUCAUUCACCUGUAGAGAAUUUGAAAACCUGUUUUGGGCCACUUAUAGCAGUAAAAGACCCAUAUAUACAUUUAUUACACUAGCAGAGAUAUCAAGCUGGGUAUUAACUCUACUAUUGGUUCUACAGAUUGGUCUAGCAGUUUAUAGGGGUUAUUUACUUAUGUUUUCAACACCGAGUGAAACACAAGGCAUCAGUAACGCGCUUUGUGGUUCAUCUUUCGAGCCAGGUCUGGACAGGGAAACUGGACCAAUUUGCUUUACUCCCGAUUCAGCUUCGAAUGAAGAUAUGAAGUCCAGUGAAACGGAGAUAUGUAUUGUUAAUAAGCAUAGCGAUAAACAGUUGAUAAAGGGUAAAAACAGUGUUAUCUAGUCAAAGUGUUUCUAAAUUGAUUUAAUUGUGAUGUGCUUUUAUCUUUGAUAUGUUAAUUGAUUUUUCUUGCAUUUGGUACAUGUAAUUAUAAUAGCAUGUUAAAUAGGUGCACUAUCAAUCGGUCCAAUACUCAUUAUACGAUAUAAUUGCUUCUUUUACAAAGUUGUUUUUAAAAAUAUGAUAAGGCAGUGUGAGGGUAAAUGUCAUCAGUUAAAG